GAUGAACGCUAGCGGCAGGCUUAACACAUGCAAGUCGAGGGGUAUUGGUUUUCGGACCAAGAGACCGGCGCACGGGUGCGUAACGCGUAUGCAAUCUACCUUUUGCAGAGGGAUAGCCCCAGAGAAAUUUGGAUUAAUACCUCAUAGUAUAGUACUUUGGCAUCAAGGAACUAUUAAAGUCACAACGGCAAAGAUGAGCAUGCGUCCCAUUAGCUAGUUGGUAAGGUAACGGCUUACCAAGGCUACGAUGGGUAGGGGUCCUGAGAGGGAGAUCCCCCCACACUGGUACUGAGACACGGACCAGACUCCUACGGGAGGCAGCAGUGAGGAAUAUUGGACAAUGGGCGCAAGCCUGAUCCAGCCAUGCCGCGUGCAGGAUGACGGUCCUAUGGAUUGUAAACUGCUUUUANACAGGAAGAAACACUCCGACGUGUCGGAGCUUGACGGUACUGUAAGAAUAAGGAUCGGCUAAACUCCGUGCCAGCA
rnacentral:rRNA from 1 species